CUCAACUGUUUAAUUCGAUGAUCCACGAAAAACCUUACCACAAUAUGUAUAUUUAUACAGAUGUUGCACGGCUGUUUUCAGUUAAUGUUGUGAAAUAAUGGUUAAAUCCAUGAAAUUAACGGAAGCCCUUGCUCUAUUUAUAAAUUAAUUUUUAUAGAGCCGAUUCACCAUAAUAGCGGUUAAUGAUAAAAGGGACUAAGACAAGUCAUCAUGGCUUUUACAUUGUGGGCUAUAGACGUGCCACAUUUUCCUAAAACAAAGAGAUGCAAAAAUGCGAAUUUAAGCUAAUCUCAAAAAUAGGAUAAAAAGAAUAUGGAUUGUAGUCUGAAACUCGGCUACAUGAAUAAGUAAUUACUAGUAAUCGUGAAUCACCAUGUCACGGUGAAUCCAG
rnacentral:ncRNA from 1 species